rnacentral:rRNA from 1 species
UUCACUACUUGAUGAUCCCGCGUUGUAUUAGCUAGUUGGUAGUGUAAAGGACUACCAAGGCGAUGAUACAUAGCCGACCUGAGAGGGUGAUCGGCCACACUGGGACUGAGACACGGCCCAGACUCCUACGGGAGGCAGCAGUAGGGAAUCUUCGGCAAUGGGGGCAACCCUGACCGAGCAACGCCGCGUGAGUGAAGAAGGUUUUCGGAUCGUAAAACUCUGUUGUUAGAGAAGAACGUUAAGUAGAGUGGAAAA